UUGGACGGCCGGGGGAUCGCCUGAGCGCUUCGGCGCAGGGGAGGAACUUCCGAACUCUUAGGACAUGGUGCCCGUCGAAAGACGGGAGGCUCGGGGCGAAAGGCCCGGGUCAUGGAAAGUGCAACAGAAAGCAAACCGCCUUGAACUUCGGUUUGAGGUAAGGGUGAAAGGGUGAGGUAAGAGCUCACCGCUCCGAGGGCGACUGAGGAGGCAUUGUAAACCCCACCUGGAGCAAGGCAUAGGGCGUCGCGUCGUCCGCGCUAUGACGCCCGGUAGCUGCAUUAGAGAAAUGGUCCUCGCUCGGCUUCGGCCGAGGCACAAAAUUCGGGGUACAGGCCGUCCUCAAUU
rnacentral:RNase_P_RNA from 1 species